UAGCGAAGCUGCUUAGAUACUGUUGAAUUAUGCACACGAUACACAGAAAUGCCCUGCCACGGAUGGCAGGGCAAGGAGAACCGCGCCAUGGACGGCGCGUUUCGACGGUUUCGUCGAGUAUCGUAAAUCUUUAAGGCAUAAUUCCUACAGUAUCUUGGCUGCGUAGCGU
rfam:[Eubacterium rectale] ATCC 33656 chromosome, complete genome.